rnacentral:rRNA from 1 species
AGUGAACGCUGGCGGUAGGCCUAACACAUGCAAGUCGAACGGCAGCACAGUAAGAGCUUGCUCUUACGGGUGGCGAGUGGCGGACGGGUGAGGAAUACAUCGGAAUCUACUUUUUCGUGGGGGAUAACGUAGGGAAACUUACGCUAAUACCGCAUACGACCUACGGGUGAAAGCAGGGGAUCUUCGGACCUUGCGCGAUUGAAUGAGCCGAUGUCGGAUUAGCUAGUUGGCGGGGUAAAGGCCCACCAAGGCGACGAUCCGUAGCUGGUCUGAGAGGAGGAUCAGCCACACUGGAACUGAGACACGGUCCAGAGUCCUACGGGAGGCAGCAGUGGGGAAUAUUGGACAAUGGGCGCAAGCCUGAUCCAGCCAUACCGCGUGGGUGAAGAAGGCCUUCGGGUUGUAAAGCCCUUUUGUUGGGAAAGAAAAGCAGCAGGUUAAUACCCCGCUGUUCUGACGGUACCCAAAGAAUAAGCACCGGCUAACUUCGUG